UGGGGGAUAUUGCGCAAUGGGGGCAACCCUGACGCAGCAACGCCGCGUGAAGGAUGAAGGUUUUCGGAUUGUAAACUUCUUUUAUUAAGGACGAAAAAUGACGGUACUUAAUGAAUAAGCUCCGGCUAACUACGUGCCAGCAGCCGCGGUAAUACGUAGGGAGCAAGCGUUGUCCGGAUUUACUGGGUGUAAAGGGUGCGUAGGCGGCUUUGCAAGUCAGAUGUGAAAUCUAUGGGCUCAACCCAUAAACUGCAUUUGAAACUGUAGAGCUUGAGUGAAGUAGAGGCAGGCGGAAUUCCCCGUGUAGCGGUGAAAUGCGUAGAGAUGGGGAGGAACACCAGUGGCGAAGGCGGCCUGCUGGGCUUUAACUGACGCUGAGGCACGAAAGCGUGGGUAGCAAACAGGAUUAGAUACCCUGGUAGUCCACGCUGUAAACGAUGAUUACUAGGUGUGGGGGGUCUGACCCCUUCCGUGCCGGAGUUAACACAAUAAGUAAUCCACCUGGGGAGUACGGCCGCAAGGUUGAAACUCAAAGGAAUUGACGGGGGCCCGCACAAGCAGUGGAGUAUGUGGUUUAAUUCGAAGCAACGCGAAGAACCUUACCAGGUCUUGACAUCCAACUAACGAAGUAGAGAUACAUUAGGUGCCCUUCGGGGAAAGUUGAGACAGGUGGUGCAUGGUUGUCGUCAGCUCGUGUCGUGAGAUGUUGGGUUAAGUCCCGCAACGAGCGCAACCCUUGCUAUUAGUUGCUACGCAAGAGCACUCUAAUAGGACUGUCGUUGACAAAACGGAGGAAGGUGGGGACGACGUCAAAUCAUCAUGCCCCUUAUGACCUGGGCUACACACGUACUACAAUGGAUGUUAACAGAGGGAAGCAAGACAGCGAUGUGGAGCAAACCCCUAAAAACAUUCUCAGUUCAGAUUGCAGGCUGCAACCCGCCUGCAUGAAGAUGGAAUUGCUAGUAAUCGCGGAUCAGCAUGCCGCGGUGAAUACGUUCCC
rnacentral:rRNA from 1 species